AAAAUAAGAAGCAAAUUAUGCAUUUAAUUUCGACUUAAAAAAUAGAGUUUACAAUUUUACUCCUUAUUUA
rnacentral:tRNA from 1 species